UAACAAUUAAUGCAUACUUUUUUUACGGAAUUUUGUUAAAUUAAUCUACUACAUACAAAAAUUCUAAGCAUUGCAACAGUUGGACUAAAUGCUCUAGGAAUUCAUAAUGAAAACUUUAUAAAAGGACUUAUAAAAACUUCAUAAAAAAACGGCUUGUGUAAAUUAUAGAAGAAAAUUAUAUGUUUUUUUUAUUUUAUUAAUUUUAUAAUUACGUCAUUUUGAUAGGUAUUAAAUAAUUUAAAAAGAAAAACACAUUAGGUAGGUAGCAAAUACAAUAUUAUUUAAUUUUAUCUAAAUUAAAAUCAGCAAGAUUUUUUAUAAGUUCAAUGUCAUUCGCCUUAAACUAAUCUUAAGUACAAAAAAUACUUCUCGUGUCUACAAUAGCCGACGACCUUGCUAUAAAUAGUGCAAGAGCUUAACGUAUUAUUGCCCACACUUACCGAACAUCCUAUUACUUAAAUAUAGUAAGAAUUUUGAAACU